GGAAAGGCGAAAAGAACCCCGGCGAGGGGAGUGAAAAAGAACCUGAAACCGUGUACGUACAAGCAGUGGGAGCACGCUUAGGCGUGUGACUGCGUACCUUUUGUAUAAUGGGUCAGCGACUUAUAUUCUGUAGCAAGGUUAACCGAAUAGGGGAGCCGAAGGGAAACCGAGUCUUAACUGGGCGUUAAGUUGCAGGGUAUAGACCCGAAACCCGGUGAUCUAGCCAUGGGCAGGUUGAAGGUUGGGUAACACUAACUGGAGGACCGAACCGACUAAUGUUGAAAAAUUAGCGGAUGACUUGUGGCUGGGGGUGAAAGGCCAAUCAAACCGGGAGAUAGCUGGUUCUCCCCGAAAGCUAUUUAGGUAGCGCCUCGUGAAUUCAUCUCCGGGGGUAGAGCACUGUUUCGGCAAGGGGGUCAUCCCGACUUACCAACCCGAUGCAAACUGCGAAUACCGGAGAAUGUUAUCACGGGAGACACACGGCGGGUGCUAACGUCCGUCGUGAAGAGGGAAACAACCCAGACCGCCAGCUAAGGUCCCAAAGUCAUGGUUAAGUGGGAAACGAUGUGGGAAGGCCCAGACAGCCAGGAUGUUGGCUUAGAAGCAGCCAUCAUUUAAAGAAAGCGUAAUAGCUCACUGGUCGAGUCGGCCUGCGCGGAAGAUGUAACGGGGCUAAACCAUGCAC
rnacentral:rRNA from 1 species